GUGUAGAGACUUGCUGCAGAUACAGUGGCAGACCCUCCAGCUGCACCUUUUUGACAGUCUUCCUCCACAGGGCCAGUGUUGUGCCCCAGAUCCCCCCUUGUUCUUCAAAUUAGUCCCCCACGGCAGCAGUUUAUUCCUUACACUGCACAAGCUCUUAAGAUUUGACUUCUAGACAUACUUUGCAGUAUAAGAUCAAGGCAUGCAAGACUGCAAUAUGUAUUGAAUAUCAAACUUCGAAAAAUGUUACAGCACAUUUGAAAUGUCAAUGAGAUGAAAGCAUGGUGAUACAAACCCCACCAAAUGCUAUUCCCAGCAGCCUAGAAAAGGGGGACAGAGCUUGUUGAUGCAGUGAUUUCCUUUUGUCCACUUUGAUCUAGUGUGGUUUGUAUUAUAUAAUCAGGCUAUAUUUAAGUUGGCUAAAGGUCCUGGACUAAUUCAGUUAUCUACUUUCUUUUUUACUAAAUACGGGGCUGUACAACACUAAAAAAUGAAUUAUUUAGUGCAUUCUGUGCACAAAAACUUCUUUUUUGUAGUAACCCUUUUAUCAUUUUUCUGUACACCAGCACAGGAAAAAUGCAGCCACAGUUUACACUGAUGACACUGAAUCAUGUCUUCAUCUGUCAAAUAAAAGUUACAUGUACAAUGAAGUGUCAUCUUAACUUUUUUCUUUUUUUGCUUUGAUUUGAAAUGUGUGUGUGGAAACAUUUCGAUUUUUUCAUUUUCAAGGCAUUUUAUGAGAUGCUUCCUCAUCUGAUCUUGCUCAAAUUUGAUUGUAGACAAUUUGAAACAAUUUGCAAGAGCUACACAGUUUGCUAACGCAAACAGACCACAGUCAUUGAUUCCCAUCUGUUUCUGGCAGCACCUAAAAUUAAUAUCAAGCACUUGAUUAACCCCAUCAAACAGUGGCAAAUAUAACUGUUUGAGCUGUUUUUUUAGUGUAUCUGGGACACCUGAAAAAGUUAAGGAAUCGUAAACAGUAACUGUAUUCCUAACUCUUUGAGAUGUGACCCAGUGUGCCCCAAGAUGGUGAAUUUGAAGCACCUGGUCACUAUCACAAGCAGUACCUGAAUUUUGUGCAAGGAUCAGGGUAUCAAUGAAACCUGCAUAUGAAGGAUGGCUCUGUGAGAUCAAGUACUGACAAACAUUUAUUAUAUUGUCAUCAAGCCAUGCUCCACUGCUUAUUUCCUCUCUAUCUUGGUAUGUCAGCUUGAUGCCAUUUAUGGUCAA